UUAAGCGACUAAGCGUACACGGUGGAUGCCCUGGCAGUCAGAGGCGAUGAAGGACGUGCUAAUCUGCGAUAAGCGUCGGUAAGGUGAUAUGAACCGUUAUAACCGGCGAUUUCCGAAUGGGGAAACCCAGUGUGAUUCGUCACACUAUCAUUAACUGAAUCCAUAGGUUAAUGAGGCGAACCGGGGGAACUGAAACAUCUAAGUACCCCGAGGAAAAGAAAUCAACCGAGAUUCCCCCAGUAGCGGCGAGCGAACGGGGAGCAGCCCAGAGCCUGAAUCAGUGUGUGUGUUAGUGGAAGCGUCUGGAAAGGCGCGCGAUACAGGGUGACAGCCCCGUACACAAAAAUGCACAUGCUGUGAGCUCGAUGAGUAGGGCGGGACACGUGGUAUCCUGUCUGAAUAUGGGGGGACCAUCCUCCAAGGCUAAAUACUCCUGACUGACCGAUAGUGAACCAGUACCGUGAGGGAAAGGCGAAAAGAACCCCGGCGAGGGGAGUGAAAAAGAACCUGAAACCGUGUACGUACAAGCAGUGGGAGCACGCUUAGGCGUGUGACUGCGUACCUUUUGUAUAAUGGGUCAGCGACUUAUAUUCUGUAGCAAGGUUAACCGAAUAGGGGAGCCGAAGGGAAACCGAGUCUUAACUGGGCGUUAAGUUGCAGGGUAUAGACCCGAAACCCGGUGAUCUAGCCAUGGGCAGGUUGAAGGUUGGGUAACACUAACUGGAGGACCGAACCGACUAAUGUUGAAAAAUUAGCGGAUGACUUGUGGCUGGGGGUGAAAGGCCAAUCAAACCGGGAGAUAGCUGGUUCUCCCCGAAAGCUAUUUAGGUAGCGCCUCGUGAAUUCAUCUCCGGGGGUAGAGCACUGUUUCGGCAAGGGGGUCAUCCCGACUUACCAACCCGAUGCAAACUGCGAAUACCGGAGAAUGUUAUCACGGGAGACACACGGCGGGUGCUAACGUCCGUCGUGAAGAGGGAAACAACCCAGACCGCCAGCUAAGGUCCCAAAGUCAUGGUUAAGUGGGAAACGAUGUGGGAAGGCCCAGACAGCCAGGAUGUUGGCUUAGAAGCAGCCAUCAUUUAAAGAAAGCGUAAUAGCUCACUGGUCGAGUCGGCCUGCGCGGAAGAUGUAACGGGGCUAAACCAUGCACCGAAGCUGCGGCAGCGACGCUGAUGCGUUGUUGGGUAGGGGAGCGUUCUGUAAGCCUGCGAAGGUGUGCUGUGAGGCAUGCUGGAGGUAUCAGAAGUGCGAAUGCUGACAUAAGUAACGAUAAAGCGGGUGAAAAGCCCGCUCGCCGGAAGACCAAGGGUUCCUGUCCAACGUUAAUCGGGGCAGGGUGAGUCGACCCCUAAGGCGAGGCCGAAAGGCGUAGUCGAUGGGAAACAGGUUAAUAUUCCUGUACUUGGUGUUACUGCGAAGGGGGGACGGAGAAGGCUAUGUUGGCCGGGCGACGGUUGUCCCGGUUUAAGCGUGUAGGCUGGUUUUCCAGGCAAAUCCGGAAAAUCAAGGCUGAGGCGUGAUGACGAGGCACUACGGUGCUGAAGCAACAAAUGCCCUGCUUCCAGGAAAAGCCUCUAAGCAUCAGGUAACAUCAAAUCGUACCCCAAACCGACACAGGUGGUCAGGUAGAGAAUACCAAGGCGCUUGAGAGAACUCGGGUGAAGGAACUAGGCAAAAUGGUGCCGUAACUUCGGGAGAAGGCACGCUGAUAUGUAGGUGAAGCGACUUGCUCGUGGAGCUGAAAUCAGUCGAAGAUACCAGCUGGCUGCAACUGUUUAUUAAAAACACAGCACUGUGCAAACACGAAAGUGGACGUAUACGGUGUGACGCCUGCCCGGUGCCGGAAGGUUAAUUGAUGGGGUCAGCGCAAGCGAAGCUCUUGAUCGAAGCCCCGGUAAACGGCGGCCGUAACUAUAACGGUCCUAAGGUAGCGAAAUUCCUUGUCGGGUAAGUUCCGACCUGCACGAAUGGCGUAAUGAUGGCCAGGCUGUCUCCACCCGAGACUCAGUGAAAUUGAACUCGCUGUGAAGAUGCAGUGUACCCGCGGCAAGACGGAAAGACCCCGUGAACCUUUACUAUAGCUUGACACUGAACAUUGAGCCUUGAUGUGUAGGAUAGGUGGGAGGCUUUGAAGUGUGGACGCCAGUCUGCAUGGAGCCGACCUUGAAAUACCACCCUUUAAUGUUUGAUGUUCUAACGUGGACCCGUAAUCCGGGUUGCGGACAGUGUCUGGUGGGUAGUUUGACUGGGGCGGUCUCCUCCUAAAGAGUAACGGAGGAGCACGAAGGUUGGCUAAUCCUGGUCGGACAUCAGGAGGUUAGUGCAAUGGCAUAAGCCAGCUUGACUGCGAGCGUGACGGCGCGAGCAGGUGCGAAAGCAGGUCAUAGUGAUCCGGUGGUUCUGAAUGGAAGGGCCAUCGCUCAACGGAUAAAAGGUACUCCGGGGAUAACAGGCUGAUACCGCCCAAGAGUUCAUAUCGACGGCGGUGUUUGGCACCUCGAUGUCGGCUCAUCACAUCCUGGGGCUGAAGUAGGUCCCAAGGGUAUGGCUGUUCGCCAUUUAAAGUGGUACGCGAGCUGGGUUUAGAACGUCGUGAGACAGUUCGGUCCCUAUCUGCCGUGGGCGCUGGAGAACUGAGGGGGGCUGCUCCUAGUACGAGAGGACCGGAGUGGACGCAUCACUGGUGUUCGGGUUGUCAUGCCAAUGGCACUGCCCGGUAGCUAAAUGCGGAAGAGAUAAGUGCUGAAAGCAUCUAAGCACGAAACUUGCCCCGAGAUGAGUUCUCCCUGACCCUUUAAGGGUCCUGAAGGAACGUUGAAGACGACGACGUUGAUAGGCCGGGUGUGUAAGCGCAGCGAUGCGUUGAGCUAACCGGUACUAAUGAACCGUGAGGCUUAACCUU
rnacentral:rRNA from 1 species